AGCAACAUCACCUGCGACGAUCACGUGGAGCACAUAAAAACUGUCACGGUCACAGUGGGAAACCAGAGGCCUUGUCAAGCUGCUUCUUGCAGCUUUUUGCACUGGGCCUCCCACAUUGUACUUUGUUACAACGUGAAAUAAAGUUUCAAUUCAACCCAC